rnacentral:rRNA from 1 species
AAUCAACGCUGGCGGCGUGCCUCAGACAUGCAAGUCGAACGAUUAAGACUUCCUUCGGGAAGUGCAUAAAGUGGCGCACGGGUGAGUAACACGUAAGUAAUCUACCCUCGAGUGGGGAAUAACGUUCGGAAACGGACGCUAAUACCGCAUAACGCAGCGGCACCGCAAGGUGACAGUUGUUAAAGGAGCAAUCCGCUUGAGGAGGAGCUUGCGGCAGAUUAGCUAGUUGGUAAGGUAAUGGCUUACCAAGGCUACGAUCUGUAUCCGGUCUAAGAGGACGGUCGGACACACUGACACUGAAUAACGGGUCAGACUCCUACGGGAGGCAGCAGUCGGGAAUUUUGGGCAAUGGGCGAAAGCCUGACCCAGCAACGCCGCGUGAAGGAUGAAGUAUUUCGGUAUGUAAACUUCGAAAGAAUAGGAAGAAUAAAUGGCGGUACUAUUUAUAAGCUCCGGCUAACUACGUG